AAACAGGAGGGGGUACGACUGUUUACAUGGGUGGACAGUGAUAGGACACAGUGGAAUGGUUUUAAAGUAAGACAGGGAAGGUUUAGGUUAGAUAUUAGGAGGAAGUUUUUCACACAGAAGGUGCUGACAUGCUGGUUGCCCAAGGAGGGCCGAGGAGGUUGUGGAUGCCCCGUCCCUGGAGGCAUUCAAGGCCAGGCUGGAUGUGGCUCUGGGCAGCCUGGUCUAGUGGUUGGCAACCCUGCACACAGCAGGGGGGUUGAAACUCAAUCAUUAUGGUCUUUUUCAACCCAGGCCAUUCUGUGAUUCUAUGAUAAUAUUGCAAUCUUUUACCUGUUGGCGAUAAAUAGAGAGUUUCUUGUGUUGCUUAAGUUCCUGCUCAGGUGUGACUCCCUGUUUCCUCCUUCUGUCCUCCCUUUCUCCUUCCCUUCCUUUGCAUCUUUUGGGCUUUUUUCUUCUUUUUUAAUGGUCUCUAAUUUCAGAGGGAAGCAGGAAACAAGCUGUCAACGAAACUGAAUUAUCAUCCUCCCAUUUAAUCUCCCUGUUUGUGCCUGUUUAUCAUAUGGAGAGUGCAUUGCCAACAUGUCUCCAGGCUUCAAAGCUAUGGAGAUCUUGUUUUAGACUUUGGUUAGUGAUCAUGAAUGGAAGGAAGCUGCAGACGUUCUCCAGCAUAUCCCCAUCUGUGCCCAUCUUCCCACAGGAUCUCCCGUAUCCCUCAAGGCCAUAUGGGGCACAGCUAGAUGUGCCAGCUGAACCUCAAGGAUCAUUAAGGCUCAGUAGUAAUUCAGACACCUUAGGACAGAGUUUUUCUACAGUCUGAAGUGCUGAAAAACCCAAGGAUGUUGGAAGAGGCUUUCAGGUUGUGUCACGGCCUGGGGACAGUGCUUUGCUUGAGCUGUCCUGGCUCAGUGAAGGAAGGCUUCCCAAAUUCAACCUUGACAAUCUCCCAUCUCUAAGGCAUUUGAGAAAUACUUAAACUAAAUGGCUUUGGCCCUUGGCCUCAGCUAGUGUCUGGUCUAGACCAAUUGCUUCUUAGUUCCGAUGGAAAUUAGAGCCCUGCCAUGAUCAGAUCAUAGGUACAGGGUGGUAUAUUAACUCUAGCUACCCCAUAUCUUUGGAUGAGGGGUGAACCUGAGUCACCUUCAGGCUUGAGGCUCCAUCCUUGCACUGAUUCUGCUUCACACCUGUUUUGUUUGUUCCGCAGCUGAAACAUGGAGUAGGAAACAUGUACUUUAAUGCUAUGUGACGAAUGCUUGUCUGCUGACAUCGAGGCAUUAAAGCACGUGAUCCAAUACCUUCAACAUUUAACACUGGCUUAUGGUUUGCUAACCACUUUUUCUGAUCGUGCUACAGCCAUUAAACCAGUGAAAAUGGAAAUGUGGAGCUCCUAACCACUUGCUUAGCAUAGAAUGAAUAGUGAGGUAUGAAGGAACAGGGUCUUUAUUGUUUUGAAGGAUGUUGUCUGUUUGUGGCACAAACAGAACGUUCAUGCCAGCUCUGACUACUUGCAUUAGGCUGCAUUUAUUUGUGAUGAUGGUACCAGCUCUGUACCAGUACUGGGGUACUGAGAACAGGCAGGGGACUCAACAGCAUGCAGAAAUUGUAAAUAAGCCAUAAUAUUUUUUUCCCCGUAGAAGGGCCUUUUGAUCGAGGCCCAUGGCAGACCGUCAACAUAGAAGGAGGAACACACACAAGGUUUUUUCGCCUUUGCCACUGCCGUUGCUGCAUUUGCAAGCCACCAGUGCCUCCCUGUGGGUCUAUCUGCCUGAGUCUCCUCAUGCUUUGGACGUGGUUUACGUGCUUUCAGUGCCUCUUGUUGCUACAAACUAAGCCCAAAACUUCAAGUCCUAUUAGAAGUGUUCCCACACCUGAAUGAUUUUCAACAAGUCUGUUGUUAUCUUCAGUCUCUACUCCUUAGAAAGACGAUGCUUGGGGUCACUGUUCACCACAUAGAAAAAGGCAAGAAGAGAGGUUAUGUUGUGUACAGGGCCAUGUUCAAUGAGGGAUAACUAACACGGGGCAGGGUGUUUUCUCCUAGACCCUUAGAAAAGAUGCAAGUUCAUCUCCAACCCAUGGAAAGGCAUUAGGGAGCAGAAGCUGGCACAGGGGAGAAGGUACCGUGAGUGGGUCAUGGAAACAUCUCCUUUCCUGCCAAUACGAGAGGACUCUGGCCUCCCCCAUCUUCCUGCUUUGUCUUUUAGGUCAGAAGUGGAAGGAUUUUCCUCCAUUGAUUCACUACCUUUAUAAUGGGGUGUAGAGGCCUAUCAGCAAAUUCAGAAAUCUUACACUCUUCUAAGAUCUCUCCUGGCAACCCACCAGGGUUUAUAAUUUAUUUUCUCCCCUCCUUUCCUCUGCCUGUGCUAUACAUAGCUCAGUUUUUCCUGCUGUACCCAGAACAACUUCCUCCCCCCCCCCCCCCUACAUAUACCCAAGACCAGGCUCUGGUGAGGGAGUAUGAAGAGGGGGUUUCUUUAUCUCUUUCAACUUAGGCUUGUGGUCUAACGUCUGCUGUUUUUUUCCACAUGCUUCUCCUCCUCCCUGCCACGUGCCACACCAACUCUGCUUGCCCCACAGCAUUUUACACCCCACUUUCCAGAGGAAGAGGUUUCUGCGGUAAAGUAUAGAGCAGCAUCAAAAGAUGACCCAGAUCUCAACACUGACGUCAUGGAACGAGUGGUGUGCCCUUUCCUGCCCCACCUGGGCUGUGAGACCUGUUCCACAUCCUGUCUCACUGUAUUAUUUCCUGCCUCUGCUUUGCACUGUGGUUUUUCUCUCUUGAAAUAAACAAGAAACCGCAAACUUGAGAGUAGGAGGAGGGUGCAUCAAAACUCUAAUCUCUGAAAGUACCUUUGAACUAGACCUACAAAUUCAGUGCUUUGGGGAUCACGUGUUAAGAGUCACAUCAGUCAAAACACUUAACUUUAGCUAUAUACUCAUCCCCUCACUCAGCAAAUCUUAUAAAUGGCAUUGUUUUGCCUGGAAAAUAUUGAGAUGUGGAAACAGGCUGAAAACUGUCCUUACAGCUAGGAGAGGGUUUGAAUUACAACUCAAUAAUAAUAUUAAAAAGUGGUGUUAAAUGUAAAUGAGCAUGGAAACUUAUCUUCCACAUCUCUGAAGGUUUUCAGAAUGAGGUUAGUCAGUUGAAAAUGUGUGAAAGUGGGACUGCUCUUGCUUUGUAAUGCGGAAAUCAUUUAGGCAGUUUCACCAAGAACUGCUUUCUUUUGAUGCAGCAGCCCUCAUCAUGAGCAAAAUGGAAGGUUCAAGAACUGGCUGGAAUUUAGAGUUAAAAUAGCCAUGGGCUUUUUACAGCUGGAGAGAAACAAGGCUGACACUUUUUGUCAAGAAUGAGUCCCUGAACAUCUUUGCUACAAGAUAAUCAGAGUUAUAGACCUGGAAACUUAGGUGCUGUCCCUGGGUAGGAGAGGCCAGUACCUGUCUGUUGCUCAGCAAUAGGCUGUCUGCAAGGUGGUCAGGUGGCAGCACCAUGGCAGGAGAUCAGGGAUACUUUAUUUUGUUGCUGCUUGGAACUGUGGACUCAGAGCCUGUGGCAGAGGUGCUGAUGUGAUCUGUACAGAGGGACACUCUCCAUUUCAAACACCAGCAUUUUGAACUGAAAGUACUUGAAAUAUGAGCUGUUCCAAAAUCAGAGGCCCUUGUAAGGGCUUGUGAAUACAUCAGAGUGAGAAAUA